rnacentral:rRNA from 1 species
UACGUAGGGUGCAAGCGUUAAUCGGAAUUACUGGGCGUAAAGCGCACGUAGGCGGAUCUUUAAGUCAGGGGUGAAAUCCUGGAGCUCAACUCCAGAACUGCCUUUGAUACUGAGGACCUUGAGUUCGGGAGAGGUGAGUGGAACUGCGAGUGUAGAGGUGAAAUUCGUAGAUAUUCGCAAGAACACCAGUGGCGAAGGCGGCUCACUGGCCCGAUACUGACGCUGAGGUGCGAAAGCGUGGGGAGCAAACAGG